UCUGCCGCGUUCUCUCUAUGUGGCUGUAUCACAUGCCCCUUCUUCCCACUGCCUUCUCCCUCUCUCCUCCUUUUGGGCAAUGUUGCUCUCUUGCUUAUCCGGCUGUUCUGAGCCAUGGGGUAGGAUCCUGCUGAGAUAUCCGGUUCCCUUCUUACCACGCAAGAAGCAUCAAGCCUCGAGCUCUCGCGUUCUCUGGGUUGCAGCGGUCCAGACGUUUGGUUCUCCUCCUCUUCCUCCGUGGUGAGUUUUCUUUUUCUUCCUUUUCGGUGACAUGCAGUCUUUGCUGUGAGUUUUCUGCAUUAUCUUUUCUUUAGCAUGAAACUGAUGUUUUUGCUCUUUGUUCUUGUUUCCCUUCUCGAGCCGCACAAUGCCCAUCGAGCCUCUGUCUCUCGCUUUCUCUGGGUUUCAGUCAUCCAAAUCGGCUGCCGUCCGUUCGCUUCUCCUCCUCUCCUCCGUAACCAAGGAGGAGGCUUGGGUGUUCUUGGGGGUUUCUCGACUGAUUUUGUUUCCAGAGCUUUCGAUCUCACCCAAGAUGAAUCAGAUCAGCUCCUGACGUGCCAAACCGGUGCUUUAAUUGUCAAGCUUGUUGAGGGUCAAACGUUGCACGAUCCAUGCAAAGAUGCUGAUCACAUCGAGAUGUUAUUCGACUUUGAAAGUGCCAAGCCCAGCAUCCACGUCAAUCAGGGCGGGUCAAUGACCAUUGCUACUCCUGAAAAUUUUCCUUUUCUGGAGAAAGUGGGACUAUGUGCUAAUGUCGUGAAGUUGGAUCCGUUGUCCAUGUUAACCCCAUGUAUACCGCUGAUGCAUCCUUCCAGUUGAUUUACUUCGCUAAAGGCAGUGGUGUGAUUCGAAUUUCGGGUAUGACUGGUGGGAAGGCAUUGGACGCCCGGGUGCAGAGCGGCCAGUUACUCGUCGUGCCUAAAUUCUUCUCUGCUGCCAAGGUUGCAGAUGGAGAUGGAUUGGAGUAUUUCUCUGUUGUCACAUCUUUAGAGCCAUCUUUUGUUCAGUUGGCUGGGAAAUGUCAUUGGAAGGCAAUGGCUCCCUCGGUUCUACAAGUUUCUUUCAAUGUUAUCCGGGGUUCGUGGAACUUUUCAAAAACAAGAUUGCCAAGGGUCAAAUUAUUGUUCCUCCUAAGAAUUGAGUUGAGAAAUAGGACUUAGCAGCUGCUGGAGCUGGACUACAAAGGCUAAAAUAAGAUACAGACUGCAUCUAGAUCAUUGCCUUGAGAGGCCACUUAAUUUGUCAUAAUCUGAAUUAAUUAGUUCUCAAGUUUGGGGUCUAUGUUUUAUAUUAUUUCUGGCCAACUUGUUCGCGUCUUUGA